UACGUAGGUGGCAAGCGUUACCCGGAUUUAUUGGGCGUAAAGGGAACGCAGGCGGUCUUUUAAGUCUGAUGUGAAAGCCUUCGGCUUAACCGGAGUAGUGCAUUGGAAACUGGGAGACUUGAGUGCAGAAGAGGAGAGUGGAACUCCAUGUGUAGCGGUGAAAUGCGUAGAUAUAUGGAAGAACACCAGUGGCGAAAGCGGCUCUCUGGUCUGUAACUGGCGCUGAGGUUCGAAAGCGUGGGUAGCAAACAGG
rnacentral:rRNA from 1 species